rnacentral:rRNA from 1 species
UAGUUCCUACGGGGGGCAGCAGUGGGGAAUAUUGCGCAAUGGGCGAAAGCCUGACGCAGCGACGCCGCGUGAGGGAAGACGGUUUUCGGAUUGUAAACUUCUUUUCUUAGUGAAGAAGCAAGUGAUGGUAGCUAAGGAAUAAGCAUCGGCUAACUACGUGCCAGCAGCCGCGGUAAUACGUAGGAUGCGAGCGUUAUCCGGAAUUACUGGGUGUAAAGGGAGCGCAGGCGGGACUGCAAGUUGGAUGUGAAAUACCGCAGCUUAACUGCGGAGCUGCAUCCAAAACUGUAGUUCUUGAGUGGAGG